CGUAAAGCGCGCGUAGGCGGUUAUUUAAGUGAGGUGUGAAAUCCCUGGGCUCAACCUAGGAACUGCAUUUCAAACUGGAUAACUUGAGUAUGUCAGAGGGUAUUGGAAUUUCCCCGUGUAGCAGUGAAAUGCGUAGAUAUGGGAAGGAACAUCAGUGGCGAAGGCGAAUACCUGGGAUAAUACUGACGCUGAGGUGCGAAAGCGUGGGGAGCAAACGGGAUUAGAUACCCUGGUAG
rnacentral:rRNA from 1 species